GUUAAAAAGCUCGUAGUUGGAUUUCUGGGAAGGCGCCAAUGCUAGCUUCUUGCUUUCGCAACGGCACCUUUCCAUCCUUCUGUUAGCGCCUCUUGGCAUUCAUUUGCUGGUGGCGGGCUCAGAUAUUUUACCUUGAGAAAAUUAGAGUGUUUCAGGCAGGCUACGCCGGAAUACAUUAGCAUGGAAUAAUGGAAUAGGACUGAGGUCUCUUUGUUGGUUUGAGGGACUCCAGUAAUGAUUAAUAGGGACAGUUGGGGGCAUUAGUAUUUAUUAGUCAGAGGUGGAAUUCUAUGAUUUGAUAAAGACUAAC
rnacentral:rRNA from 1 species